rnacentral:rRNA from 1 species
AUUGAACGCUGGCGGCAUGCCUUACACAUGCAAGUCGAACGGCAGCGGACCUUCGGGUGCCGGCGAGUGGCGAACGGGUGAGUAAUAUAUCGGAACGUACCUUUCAGUGGGGGAUAACGUAGCGAAAGUUACGCUAAUACCGCAUAUUCUGUGAGCAGGAAAGCAGGGGAUCGCAAGACCUUGCGCUGAUUGAGCGGCCGAUAUCAGAUUAGCUAGUUGGUGAGGUAAAGGCUCACCAAGGCGACGAUCUGUAGCGGGUCUGAGAGGAUGAUCCGCCACACUGGAACUGAGACACGGUCCAGACUCCUACGGGAGGCAGCAGUGGGGAAUUUUGGACAAUGGGCGCAAGCCUGAUCCAGCCAUGCCGCGUGAGUGAAGAAGGCCUGGUGUAAGACUCUUCGUCCGGACGGAAAGUACGUAAUCAGCUAAUAACCUAGGUGCGGAGUGACGGUACCGGCGAUAAGAAGA